rnacentral:rRNA from 1 species
AUGGCGAACAUCUGCGGUGGCCGGGAAAGGGCUCAUGUCGCAGCAGAUUACACGCAGUCAAACCCAGAUGAGGAAUCUGGUCUCCAAGAACCUAAUUCAGGGACAAUGAACUCCAAGGCAAGCAGCAGUGCCACCAGCAGCAUCAUGGCCUCUGCCGGCAGUGACAGUACAAAUGGUGGAACCAAACAGGGGUGCUUCCUCCAAGGCCAAAUACUGGACGCAGCGAACCUCCGGAAAUUCACAUUCCUUGAGAUCCAGACAGCUACCAAGAACUUCAGGCCAGAUAGUCUCAUUGGGUUCGGGGGAUUUGGGUGGGUGUACAAAGCGUGGGUCGAUGAGAAGACGAUGAACCCGACAACGAGUGGCCCUGGCAUGGCUGUUGCUAUUAUGCAAGGAAAGGAGGAAUGGCAGAAAUUUCUGACUGUCCACUUGCAAUCGGACGUAAAACUUUUGGGAAGGUUCUCUCAUCCAAACCUUGUCAAGCUACUGGGCUACUGCUGGGAGGGCAUGGAACUAUUUCUUGUGUACGAGUUCAUCGCCCAAGGAAGCUUAGAAGACCAUCUAUUCUUCAGAGGAGGAUGUGCUCCACUAUCAUGGGAAAUGAGGCUUAAGAUCGCCAUCGGCGCAGCACGAGGACUUGCAUUCUUGCAUGCAUCAGAGAAGAAAGCUAUGUACCGUGACUUCAAGGCUUCCAGGAUUCUUCUAGAUGCAGACUAUAACGCGAAGCUCUCUAAUUAUGGGCUUGCUAAGCUUGGGUCAACCGGUAACUCGCGUAUGACUAUCAUGCCCACGCGUACCCACGGGUAUGCAGCUCCGGAAUAUGUAAUAACUGGCCUUCUGUAUGAGAUGAGUGACGUUUACGGUUUCGGGGUUAUGAUGCUGGAGAUGUUGUCCGGUCAGCGAGCGAGGGAUCCCAACCGCCCAAAGGGGCAAAUGAGCAUCAUUGACUGGGCAAAGCCCUUGGUUGACCGGAGAAAGGUCGCUCGUCUUAUGGACCCCCGGCUCAAGGGGCAGUUCAACUCGAAACAAGCCCUACAGGCGGUGCAUGUGGCGCUGAGCUGCCUUGACAGGGAGCCUAGUUGCAGGCCCUCGAUGAAGGUGGUUCUCGAGGCGCUCGAGCAGAUCUAG